GCAAGAACUGCUGUAACUGUAGCAUGAUCUUCCGCUACCAGGAGUGGAGUGAUGGAAUAUACAACUUUGAUGAUCACACUCUUGUAUCCUUGCAUCUUUGGAUGUUCCUGCGAAACACUCUCCAGUAAGCUGCAUAGAGCAGCCAUCCCAGAAUUAUGAUGGGAAAGUCAAUGUUGAAGACUUCUGGGAGUCUGUGUCACUAGAAAUGGUCAGUCGGGGAUUGUUACCAAGUAACAAGCAGAGCCCCUUUUUGGUACAGCCCAGUUACCAUAACUGGGCACCAUGGAUUGGUCCCCACACAAGAGGCUCCAGUGUGGUGUCAAACACAGAACACUGCAAAAUCCACACACCAAGGAACCCAAAUGAAGAAUUACAGAGGACCGGCUCA